UAGCUUGUUUUGGCAGCUCAUAUACUAAAACUGGAACUAUACAGACAAGAUUAGCAUGGGCAUAGUGGAAGGUUGAAAAGUGCAUUUAUGAAGCAUUCCAUAUUUUU